UCUUACCUAGAAUUCAGCUCAACAGGU
rnacentral:piRNA from 1 species